GCAUAUUGACUUCACGUACGCAAACUCAGUUCGCGUAUAUUUCUGGGCAGAUUCAGUUUGCAUAAUUAAAAUCAAUUGACAAAAUGAGUUUCAUUUUCACCAAAAUCAUUUUCAAUCACUUAACCCUAAAUAAACAUUGUAAUAAACAAGAAGAAGAGUGAGCUGAUGUAACUCUGAUGUAAAUUGAAGUCAAUGAAGAUGGUUGAAGAUGCUGAAAAUGGAGGAAGAAUGAUAAGAAGGUGUGGGAAGAAAUGAUGAAUAUGAGUGUGAGGUAAAAGAUGAAGAUAGAAAAAUAAGUUACGGUGGAAAAUGAAG
rnacentral:lncRNA from 1 species